UGAGAUGACGGCUCGACAGACGAGCAUAACCGGUCGGACGGGAGGGCAGGCGGGAGAGUAUGUCAGGUUUAGGUCGAACCGCACAGCGUUUCUCAGUAGUCGCGUUUCUAUACUCGGGUGGUGCGGUCGUGUCGCUUUCCUCGACGUUCCCAGUCUCUUGAUCUUGGUCUACAAUUUCCACUCUGUUUUUUCCCGAUUCGUAACCAACUACGUUUGCACGGAAUAACGGUAACCACCGAUUAGUCACAAAUCACUGGUCUGACGUCACAUUAUUAAUUCUGGACCGCGGCUCGAGAACGUUCCUGCGAAAUAUCUUGUUAGGCUCCGUCAUUCGCGAUUACAAUAAUCUUUCAGUAUAUUCCUUUGGUUUCUAUAAUUUGAUAUUCCGAUACAUGACUAUCAUCUCGUUACGUAAUUUCACACAGUGUGUGUCUGUGUGUGUACCUCGCAUUGUAAUUUGUACUUUUGUUACGUGUUUGCGGAUCUCGCACCGAAUUAUGAAAUAUUCAAGCUUCGAGUAAAUCACCAAAAUUGGUCUUGUCAUCGGAACACUUGAUACAUCUUUCACACUGAAUACGAACACAGUUGAAGGGAGCAGCGAAAUACUAGUUCUUUCUAUCGACGAGCAACGACGUCGAAAACGACGAGCAACGUUGCAAUAUUUCGGAAGCUGUGACAACACCGCAUCGGGAUAGUAUUUUUAUCGUAUAAUAGACGGAAUAAUUCCGUAUCAUGUUUAACUAAUUUAUAACGAAUGUACAUAAAUGAAUGUUUGUUUGCAUACCUUGUGCGAUAUAUGAAAUGUUUGUGCAAUAAAUGAUUGAUUGUUCGUUAAUGUAGGAAACGUGUUGCUUGAUUUUCUUCAAAGAUUGUGUUUCUAAAGUGUAAAGAAAUUGAACAAGUUUAUCUACUGAUACAGUCUAUCGAUGUUUAAAUGGAAACAUACGGUGUUUAAUAUCAACAGUGAUUUUAAACGUGAUAUGUAAAGAGCUCUCGAGUCUCCCGGCGUUACCAGCUUAGGAAUUGGAGCGUGCGGCGGCGCCACUUUAGAUUCUCUACAUCAGGGGUCGGAAAACUAUGGUCCGCGGGCCAGAUUCAGCCAAUCACAUUGCAGGUUGCAGUUUAUGUACGAGAAAAUUGCGAGGUGUUUGCGAGUCCAGGCGAACGUCUCACCCUUGGAAGUGUUUAAUAAAUUUAGGCGUUUCUUUCUUGUUUUCUUCGAUUUUCCGCGCGUCUGCGCACGUUGCGCAAUCUAUCGAGCCGUAGUGUCAUUGAGUUCUCAAAUGCAUAUGUAUAUGCACACUACUGUCCACAAGCAUCCCAAUACUUAAACGCUCACUGUUACUGGAUCUGCGAGGAAUACAAUAGCGAGGGAACCAUUAUCGAAGCCACGGAAUAGUCAACCGAGACGAUUUCUCAUAUUUCAGGCAGAUCCGCACCUGGGUAAAAUGCGGCGUCGCCAAUGUCAUUCUACCAAUCGGAAGCCUCGCGGCAUACGCGCGGCUGUGACGCGACAAUUUUUUUUAUUCGUCAUCGUACAGAGAUUGUCUGAAGUUAUGAGUCAGACGACGCUUACGAAAGAGGUAGGGGUCAGCGACGUAAAUUUCAGCGGGCAUCUUUGAAAAGAGAGAGUUAUUGUACCUAGACGACAUCAAGUGUUUACAUAUCAACGCGACGAAUUCAACUGACAUUUCUCUCCCAAAAGAAACUUCGGUCAAAAAAUCCGAUUAAUAGGCCACCGAAAACAUUCUUCGCAUGCUUUCGUCUAGCCAGAUGGUUAAAACUGACCACUGUGUGACGGUCGGUAAAAAGACGGCCGUCUUGCACGAUAAGAUAGAUCCGUUCCUCGCGUAUCGUGCACCAGAUUACCGCGAGUCGGCACCUGGUACAUACCCGUCUAACCGAGAGUUGUUCGAUCUUGUUCAAAUAAUCACGGUAAACAUCAGCAAUCGGAAGUGACAAUAAUAAUGCCGGACGAGUAUAGAAACGAAGAGGUAAACGAGUAACUACAUUAACGGGUUGUGUAAGUGGGCAGUCUACUAAGCGGAUGAGUAAUCAUAUAAAUAGACAGACAGCUGUCUAGGCGAAUACGCAAAUAAGCAGAUAGUCGGCCAAGCAAUUACGUGCAUAAGCGAAUGGAAAGAUCUACAAGAUAAGUAGAUAAAUAGACGAGUAAGUACGUGGACGUACUGUGGCAAGCUGUCAAGAGGAAAGGAUCGCGUCGCGACCGAGGGACGGAGGGGACGAGGGAGACAUUUUCUUUGCUUACUGAGGCGUCGAUGUAUCAGCAGUCGGCGAGAGAAAUUCACCGUGGCGGUUAAAGCGGACGGUAAUGCAGAUUGCAAGGUGAACUCUAGGCGGUUUCUGUUACCGCGAUGCAUUACACGCGUGGACUCUGCAUUUCCCGAGUUUUCGCUCUCAAGAGUCAUCUACACCAGUGGUGCGCAACCUGUCUAGCUGCUGGUAGACGGAUCGUGUUCAGAUAAAAUAAUGUUUUACCGCGGAACAACGUUACAGUUGUUCAAAAUAUUAUUCAGAAUUUUUAGCUAAUUUGCAUUCAGAAUGCGAAGAGUAACUAUCAAUUACUCACUUUUAUCAACUCCGUGUAACUUUUAGGUAGCAUGCUAAUAUAUCGAUAUUUCAUCGGGUAAUUUCAUUUUUUUCUUUUUUUUUUUCAGUUGACAGCAUUAUCAAUCAGAUAUAGUCAAGCAAACGCGUGACAAGUUGUCUGCAGAAAAAAUUCGUUCCAUAGAGAGUUAACAGAAAAUCACUUAAGCGGUAUUUGAACGUAUCUCAAAGUAUUUAAAGAAAUUUGAAAAAUUGUCGGUUUUACAGCUGUUUAAAGGCAUUCGAAAAAUGAUAACUAUCCAACUAGCUAACGGUUGAGAAUAAGCUUUCGUGGGUUUACAGGAAAAUCAUUUAAGUAUCGAAUUCAAAGUAAUUAAUAUAUGCCUUGUUUUUCUGAUACGUAUAAUUUUAAAAAUGUGAGAAAAAAAAAAAUUGUCAAUAUAGCCAUAUUGCCAUUUAUACUGUAACCUAUUAAUCGCGGUGGUCUACUUACAAUGGUCAGACAAGGCUUUUGAUAUCCCUAGUAACAUUAUGCGUAUCCAUUCAUGUACGAUCAAUCGAAGAAACAUAAUCGCGACAUCGUAUCAUAUAUAAUUACUGUUAUUACAUAUUACAUAACCUACCUAACUUUGUAUAGCGAAUAAUCGCAAAACAUGAUAUUCAUUUGGUGCAUCAAUUAUGCGUUACAAAUAAUUAUCUUAAUAGAUAAAUAUUGUUUUCUCGUAUUAAAAUUCCUCUUUGUACAAUGAAAUAUUUAUACAUGUAAUAUAAUUAAUCAUUCAUUCGUGAUAUUUAAUUAUAAUAUUAUUAGACAAGUACCAAUUUCCUCUGCUAUAUUACAACUUGCAAUUUUAAAUUCGUUAUUUUGGUUCAUGCACAGUGCGUGACAAUAAAUUCCGUAAAGAAUAG